rnacentral:rRNA from 1 species
AACGCGAAGAACCUUACCUACUCUUGACAUCCAGAGAACUUUCCAGAGAUGGAUUGGUGCCUUCGGGAACUCUGAGACAGGUGCUGCAUGGCUGUCGUCAGCUCGUGUUGUGAAAUGUUGGGUUAAGUCCCGCAACGAGCGCAACCCUUAUCCUUGUUUGCCAGCGAGUAAUGUCGGGAACUCCAGGGAGACUGCCGGUGAUAAACCGGAGGAAGGUGGGGACGACGUCAAGUCAUCAUGGCCCUUACGAGUAGGGCUACACACGUGCUACAAUGGCGCAUACAGAGGGCGGCCAACUUGCGAAAGUGAGCGAAUCCCAAAAAGUGCGUCGUAGUCCGGAUCGGAGUCUGCAACUCGACUCCGUGAAGUCGGAAUCGCUAGUAAUCGUGGAUCAGAAUGCCACGGUGAGUACGUUCCCGGGCCUUGUACACACCGCCCGUCACACCAUGGGAGUGGGCUGCAAAAGAAGUAGGUAGUUUAACCUUCGGGGGGACGCUUACCACUUUGUGGUUCAUGACUGGGGUGAAGUCGUAACAAGGUA